rnacentral:rRNA from 1 species
AUUGAACGCUGGCGGCAUGCCUAACACAUGCAAGUCGAACGGUAACGCGGAGAGCUUGCUCUCUGGCGACGAGUGGCGGACGGGUGAGUAAUACUUAGGAAUCUGCCCAGUAGUGGGGGACAACAUUCGGAAACGGAUGCUAAUACCGCAUACGCACUACGGUGGAAAGUGGGGGACCUUCGGGCCUCACGCUAUUGGAUGAGCCUAAGUCGGAUUAGCUUGUUGGUGAGGUAAAGGCUCACCAAGGCGACGAUCCGUAGCUGGUCUGAGGGGACGAUCAGCCACACUGGGACUGAGACACGGCCCAGACUCCUACGGGAGGCAGCAGUGGGGAAUAUUGCACAAUGGGCGAAAGCCUGAUGCAGCAAUGCCGCGUGUGUGAAGAAGGCCUGCGGGUUGUAAAGCACUUUCAGUAGGGAGGAUUAUGACGUUACCUACAGAAGAAGCACCGGCUAACUCUGUG